UACGAGAGGUCCAAACGUUAUUCGGAAUCACUGGGCUUACAGAGUUCGUAGGCGGUCCAGAAAGUGGGGUGUGAAAGCCCUCGGCUUAACCGAGGAACUGCGCUCCAAACUACUGGGCUAGAGGAAGAUAGAGGUGAGCAGAACUGAUGGUGGAGCGGUGAAAUGCGUUGAUAUCAUCAGGAAUACCGGAGGCGAAGGCGGCUCACUGGGGGUUUUCUGACGCUGAGGAACGAAAGCCAGGGGAGCAAACGGG
rnacentral:rRNA from 1 species